rnacentral:lncRNA from 1 species
AGACCAUAUCCAGAUAUUAGGCAAAGCCCCUGGUUCAGGGAUGGGGCCACUCAGUCAUCUCCACUUUUUUAACCCAGAAUUGUUCCUGUCUAGUGGGAUAUGGUGAUAAAGUGUACAGCUGAGACUAAAGUAAAGGCCAUCCAGAGAAUGCCCCACCUGAGGAUCCAUCCCAUAUAUAGACACCAAACGCAGACAUUAUUUCUGAUGUAAGAAGUGCUUGUCUGACAGGAGCCUGGCAUGGCUGUCUCUUGACAGGCUCUGCCAGAGCCUGACAAAUUCAUUUGUAGAUGUAUACAGCUGUACAUUGGACUGAGCAGAGGGACCCCAAUGGAGGAAUUAGGGAAAGGACUGGAGGAGCUGAAGGGGUUUGCAACCCUAUAGGAAGAACAAUAUCAACCAACCAGACUCCCAAGAGCUCCUAUAGUCUAAACCACCAACCAAAGAGUACACAUUGGGGAACUCAUGGCUCCAGCUGCAUAUGUGGCAGAGGAUAAUCUUAUUUGGCAUCAGUGAAAGGAGAGGCCCUUGGUCCUGUGAAGGUUUGAUACCCAGAUAUAAGGGAAUGCCAAUAAUCUAUUUUCAAUAAAAAACGAAAAAA